UACGAAGGGGGCUAGCGUUGCUCGGAAUCACUGGGCGUAAAGGGUGCGUAGGCGGGUCUUUAAGUCAGGGGUGAAAUCCUGGAGCUCAACUCCAGAACUGCCUUUGAUACUGAGGAUCUUGAGUUCGGGAGAGGUGAGUGGAACUGCGAGUGUAGAGGUGAAAUUCGUAGAUAUUCGGAAGAACACCAGUGGCGAAGGCGACUCACUGGACACGUAUUGACGCUGAGGUGCGAAAGCGUGGGGAGCAAACAGGG
rnacentral:rRNA from 1 species